UACGUAGGUGACAAGCGUUGUCCGGAUUUACUGGGCGUAAAGAGCGCGCAGGCGGUCGAUCAAGUCGAGUGUGAAAGCCCCCCGGCUCAACUGGGGAGGGUCAUUCGAUACUGAUCGACUCGAAGGCAGGAGAGGGUAGUGGAAUUCCCGGUGUAGUGGUGAAAUGCGUAGAUAUCGGGAGGAACACCAGUGGCGAAGGCGACUACCUGGCCUGUUCUUGACGCUGAGGCGCGAAAAGCUAGGGGAGCAAACGGG
rnacentral:rRNA from 1 species